GUAGAGCGUCUCCACCACCACGGCGGCCGCCGGCCCGGACCCCGGCCCCGCGCCCGGCUCCAGCAGGUGCCGCCGCACGCCCAGGUCCGCGACCCCGGAAGCGGAAGCCGGCCUGCCCCCAUGACCCUCACCGCCCUCUAGGUCUGCGACCUCGGAAGCAAGAAGCUGUCUGCCCCGCCCCGCAACAAAGAUAGCGCCGGGGCCGCGUUGUCCAAUCUCGUCCCUUUAUUCCUUCGCGGAGCCGGGCCGGCGGGGCGCUCACGGGCGCGGUCCCCGCGGGCUCCUCAGGUAGCGGCAGACGCUCUCCUGCGGACAGAUGAGGGGGAGGCCGUGAGCCCGGCGCGGCCUAGCAACCCUCCCGCGGGUGCCUGGACGGACGGAGAUCCCUUGGGAAGGCCCCGGCCUCGGGCCCGGCCCCUCGGGAUUCAGCACAAGCCGCUACUCAUGAGUACGUCAGGAUCAGCCUGGUGUUGAGGGCCGGGCCGGGCCGGGCCGGGGGGAGGGAGGGGAAAUCACGGGGGCGUAGGGCUGUGGCAGGGGCCAGCCGUGCUCUCCUGCUGCGUCAGGAGCUAUUGAGCAGGGGCAGGGGCAAGGCCCCUGCAUCAACCUCCCUGGCCUGAGAUGCUGGAGGCUGUAAGUGGGGGCUGUGCCCAGUUCACUCCCUUUCAGCCUCUGCUCCCUGCCCUUGGGCGAGGUGGGUGCAUGGUCUGACCCAGUCAGUGGCAGCUUUUCUGGUCCAGUACUACUUCGGCCUGUUUCUCCUUCACUUCUGUGGAUAGUUGGGGGGAUGCUACAACGCCCAAGAUACCGCACUCUACAUUAGUUUGUAUUAAUCAUCAUCAUAUAAUACUGCUACUACUUCCAAUAGUAUUUUUGUGUCUGCUUAAUCACUGAAUCUGCUUGUAGCCUGUUACUCUCUCCCCAAGAAGCACAGGGCUUUCCCUUUAAGCCCAUAGUCUCAGAACUGAAAAAAAGGGCUGAGCGCUUCCCCGCUCGUGCACUUAUAUAAACAUGAGUUCCUCAAGCACCCAGCACCAUUAGUACUGGGCUAUUACAGCACUAUAGCCUGUGAAGGGACUAGCUCCCCUCAUCCUCAGAGCUUCUAGCGGUCAGUGUCAGGGCUGUUAUUGAAAGGCAGGAGCGGCAGCAGCUGUGAAACGGGCUACUUCCAGUCAUUUUCAAGGUUUCCAACAGCAGCCCCUUAAAAGCUGCCUCCCUUUCACCAUUUAUGGUACAGGUAAAGGGGAAUACAAUUUAUUGAUAUCAUUGAAAGAUGCUGUGCAUCUAAGAUAUUUGUACAAAUAAUAGGGAUUUGUUACGAUGUAAACAGGCAAUAACUUGGGACUGGUGCUUAAAUAAAUAUACACAUCCAGUAUGCACACAGAUGGAAUAGAUUGUACAAGUGCAAAAAUCUUUUAGCA